AUACUGCAAGUCGAGCGAAUGGAUUGAGAGCUUGCUCUCAAGAAGUUAGCGGCGGACGGGUGAGUAACACGUGGGUAACCUGCCCAUAAGACUGGGAUAACUCCGGGAAACCGGGGCUAAUACCGGAUAACAUUUUGAACUGCAUGGUUCGAAAUUGAAAGGCGGCUUCGGCUGUCACUUAUGGAUGGACCCGCGUCGCAUUAGCUAGUUGGUGAGGUAACGGCUCACCAAGGCAACGAUGCGUAGCCGACCUGAGAGGGUGAUCGGCCACACUGGGACUGAGACACGGCCCAGACUCCUACGGGAGGCAGCAGUAGGGAAUCUUCCGCAAUGGACGAAAGUCUGACGGAGCAACGCCGCGUGAGUGAUGAAGGCUUUCGGGUCGUAAAACUCUGUUGUUAGGGAAGAACAAGUGCUAGUUGAAUAAGCUGGCACCUUGACGGUACCUAACCAGAAAGCCACGGCUAACUACGUGCCAGCAGCCGCGGUAAUACGUAGGUGGCAAGCGUUAUCCGGAAUUAUUGGGCGUAAAGCGCGCGCAGGUGGUUUCUUAAGUCUGAUGUGAAAGCCCACGGCUCAACCGUGGAGGGUCAUUGGAAA
rnacentral:rRNA from 2 species